UCCUGCCUACGGGGGGCAGCAGUGGGGAAUAUUGGGCAAUGGGCGCAAGCCUGACCCAGCAACGCCGCGUGAAGGAAGAAGGCUUUCGGGUUGUAAACUUCUUUUCUCAGGGACGAAGCAAGUGACGGUACCUGAGGAAUAAGCCACGGCUAACUACGUGCCAGCAGCCGCGGUAAUACGUAGGCGGCAAGCGUUAUCCUGAUUUACUGGGUGUAAAGGGCGUGUAGGCGGGGCCG
rnacentral:rRNA from 1 species